AAGGCGAACCUCAACUACCUUUUGUUCCUCCUGAACCACCAGUGAAAGGAAACAAGAAAAGAAGGACCGUGUUAGAAACUUCUGCAACGCAAAAACGUCUGGAUGAAGAGCGUGCUAAAAGCAGAAUUAACAUUGGCGUUGCUUUUCCACGCUGGAGGCAACUGCGGGAUUCAAAGGGUCUGAAAAAUGACGCCAUGGUUGCUGUUUUUAUUUUGGACAGAAAACCUCAGUUCGACCCAGUCAUCAGGACCAUAUUUCGCUGUGUUCCCACAUGUCUUCAGAAGAUUCCUACAAGCAAACACGUGACCAAGCAAGGCGGUGGCCACUGAGAUCAUUGAGAGAAGCCGCCCACAGUGUCCAAAGCCUGGAGUUAUGGGAUUUUCUUCCUUAUGGAUGCCUCCUAAGAUGACUGACAUCUUUCUCAGAGUUAAUGUUAAAACUGUUAUGUAGUGAUGACUAAGGGUGAGUGAAUUGAGACUGAAGAAAACUAAAGUGCACAGUGAUAAUGAACAGUGACAUGUCAUUCUAUGAGAUAUUUGAUGUGAGCAUUUCAUAUAGUUAAAGGUGGGGUAUGCGAUUCCAUGACAAUACCAUGAUAUAGAGCGAACAACGACACAGCAAGUAAUGUAAAUAACGUUAGCUAGGUAGUGGGUUAGCUUAGCUAGGUUGCAGGUUAGCAAACUGUCUCUACAGUUGCUGCUACGAAGCUAACAACCAGAGAGGAUGAGACGGUUUCCCAGAGCCAGCAAACCAGCUCCAGACAGCGAUACUCGCAACUCUCUACAAUAUAUGUAAAAAUAUUAAGAACGCUUUACCCUAUUAUUUCACCAUUUUAAUUCUACUUAAUUAUAUGUGUGUGUGUGUGUGUGUGUGUGUAUAUACAAUUGUGCUCAAACGUUUGCAUACCCUUGGAGAAUUGGUACUAUAUGUACUACAAGAUAACAUGAGUGAGCAGGCAAAACACAUUUCUUUUAUUUCUUAUGGGAUUCAUAUCCAACUGUAGAUUAUAACAGAAUGGCACAAUCAUAAAACAAAACAUGGCAACAAAGAAAAAAAUGAAAUGACCCCUGUUCAAAUGUCUGCAUACCAGUAGUUCUUAAUACUGUGUAUUGCCCCCUUUAGCAUCAAUGACAGCAUGCAGUCUUUUGUAAUAGUUGUCUAUGAGGCCCCAAAUUCUUGCAGGUGGUAUAACUGCCCAUUCGUCUUGGCAAAAUGCCUCCAGGUCAUGCAAAGUCUUUGGUCGUCUUGCAUGAACUGCACAUUUGAGAUCUCCCCAGAGUGGCUCGAUGAUAUUAAGGACAGGAGACUGUGCUGGCCACUCCAGUAUAGGGAUGUGCGAGACUAGUCGACUAAACGGUUCUGAUGCUGCUAGUCGACACUGGAAUUACUAGUCGGUUAAUAUUUGCCCCAUUAAACUGAUCAUAAUUUUUACACAUUUACAUUUGGCUUUAUAUUUUUACAGAGGCUGCACUUAAAUUACUGUCAUAUUAAUGUUACAUAUUUUAAAUAGAAUUAAUAAAACAACUAUUACAAUAAAAAAAGAGGAUAUCUGGAGCAGAUACAGAGUUUAAUUUCACUUCAGGCUGCGUGUGCUUCUUCCCUCUCUCACUCGCGGCGCUCGCAGGAAAAUGUCAGCAAAGUAGUUAUGAUAUCACUUCGGUGGUGCGGGAAACGGCUUUCCAAAUGUUUGAAAGUCCCUAAGGAUGUUUUCACAUUUGAGUCUUCUUUACAUCUGUGCAUGCUUGGAUGUUAUUUUUCUGCUGAGCAGGCUUUUUCAAGUGCAGGAUAGACGCCUCAGGUGAGUCAAGUCCCGUCUUUCACCGGACAAUGUCGACAUGUUAAUUUUACUCAUCAAAAAAUGUAUGCUUUUGAGUAAGUAUCCUAGAAAAUAACUGUUUUAGACUAGGUAUGCCAUUUUUUUUAAAUCUGCUGAUUAAGAAGGCUAUUUUCAGCAAGGUGCCAACUGCUGAAUGGGUUAAACUAUCUUUUAUUCUGUGUGCACGUCAUGUUUAAAAUACAUUAGGUUUAUUGUAGGCUACAUCACAGGCCCAUUUUUUCUAUCCUAUAGCUAUUAUUUAUUUUUUUUUUUUACAUCGUAACUGUUAUUGGUUAACGUUGUUUACCGAACAACUGUCAUAUUAGAUCAAUGGUUAAUGCACGGCUGCACGUCGUGAAAUACACACAACUUUUCAGAGCAUUUUUUUUCUCUCUCAUAGAUUUGGCUUGGUCUACAUGUUAAUUAUUUUCAACAAUGUCCUGACAGUUUUAAUAUGUUUUAAUUUUAAUAACUUUUACUUGGUCAUUUCCAUUUAGAACAGGCUAUUAGGGUUGUUCCAUUGAUCCUGCACUAUUAAUUCAAUUGUUUUCAAUAAAUAUGUAUAUUAAAUAUUCGCUAAUGUUGAUUCAGUGAAUGCGUGUCAUGUUCUAUAUUUAAUGUACAAUGAUCAUAAUUCAAGGCGAGCACGUCGCAGAUAAAUGCCCCUUUUCAGUGGAAUUUAGCAUCGGAUUUGGAAUAGAUUAAGAAUUUUAAAUUUGCUGAAGGUUGGUUUCUCUUUAGACUAGUCGGUUACAAAACUUCCAUUUAAACGACAGUCAAAUUAGUCGUAGAGCACAUCCCUACUCCAGAACCUUCACCUUUUUCUGCUGUAACCACUAGAGGGUCAACUUGGCCUUGUGCUUAGAGUUAUUUUCAUGCUGGAAAGUCCAAGAGCGUCCCAUGCGCAGCUUUCGUGCAGAAGAAUGCAAAUUGUCUGCCAGUAUUUUCUGAUAACAUGCUGCAUUCAUCUUGCCAUCAAUUUUCAUAAGAUUCCCCGUGCCUUUAGAGCUCACACACCCCAAAACAUCAGUGAGCCACCACCAUGCUUCACAGUGGGGAUGGUAUUCUUUUCACUAUAGGCUUUGUUGACCCCUCUCCAAACAUAGCGCUUAUGGUUGUGACCAUAAAGCUCUAUUUUGGUCUUGUCACUCCAAAUUACAGUGUGCCAGAAGCUGUGAGGCGUCUCAUAUUGUAACCGGGCUUUUUUGUGGCACUGGCGCAGUAAAGGCUUCUUUCUGGCAACUCAGCCAUGCAGCUCAUUUUUGUUCAAGUAUUGUCGUAUUGUGCUCCUUCAAACAACCACACCGUCUUUUUCCAGAGCAGCCUGUAUUUCUCCUGAGGUUACCUGUGGGUUUUUCUUUGUUUUCCGAACAAUUCUUCAGGCAGUUGUGGCUGAAAUCUUUCUUGGUCUGCCUGACCUUGGCUUGGUAUCAAGACAUCCCCAAAUUUUCCACUUCUUAAUAAGUGAUUGAACAGUACUGACUGGCAUUUUCAAGGCUUUGGAUAUCUUUUUAUAUCCUUUUCCAUCUUUAUGAAGUUCCAUUACAUUGUUACGCAGGUCUUUUGACAGUUCUUUUCUGCUCCCCAUGGCUCAGUAUCUAGCCUGCUCAGUUCAUCCAUGUGAGAGCUAACAAACUCAUUGACUAUUUAUACACAGACACUAAUUGCAAUUUAAAAAGCCACAGGUGUGGGAAAUUAACCUUUAAUUGCCAUUUAAACCUGUGUGUGUCACCUUGUGUGUCUGUAACAAGGCCAAACAUUCAAGGGUAUGUAAACUUUUGAUCAGGGCCAUUUGGGUGAUUUCUGUUAUCAUUAUGAUUUAAAAAGGAACCAGACAACUAUGUGAUAAUAAAUGGCUUCAUAUGAUCACUAUCCUUAAAAGCCUUUUCUCUUUUUUUUUUUCUUGAUCAGUUAUAUUUUCAAAAUCAGUGCCAAAAUUUCACAAUUUCUGCCAGAGUAUGCAAACAUUUCAGCACAGCUAUAUAUAUAUAUAUAUUAGGUGUAUAUGUAUGUAACUACGCUAUUUUUUUCUGUUAGUCAGACAAUGUCUCUCAUCAAGAGCAGCUUAAUGCUUCAUUUGCAGCUCAGUGGGCAGAGGGAGUCGGGUUUGACACACAGUGCUCUUUAUUGAAUCGAAUUGUUUUGAGUCGUGAAUUAAGAAUCGAUUUAAAUCUAAUUGUAACACCAAGAAUCGGAAUCAAACUGAAUCGUGAGAUUGCCCCAAAUUCCCACACCUACGUGGCAGUACCACCAUGUCCAAAUAAUAUUUUCCCCAUGCAAUCCUAAUCUGAAUCUUUUAAUAAAUGUAUACUGAUACAGUCCAUACUACAGAUAAAUUGAGAAGGUAAUUAGUGCCAUUAUUCACAUUACUGUGUAUAUUUUAGAUACACAUUAUUAUAAAUCUUUAAAACCUUAGGAGUAUUUUUUGUAAAGAUCCACAGUAACCAUUUCUUUGCUUCCAUUUGGUGUUUAUUAUGUGUAGAAUUGAUGUCUUUCAAUUUGUUACUUAGCAAAAAUGAAUACAAUACAAAACGGCUGAAAGGGGCGUAUUUAUGUAAAUGUCCAUAUUGCCUCAAUAUAUAUGUGUCAAUAAAUCAAAUGUCAUUUUGACUGAUGGUUUUUCAAACCUAACAUGCUUCAAGAUGACAUCACUCUGAAGUCCCAUGCAAAAUUUCACCAUGAUAUGUCAAAAGAUGACUGAAUUACAGCUGUUUGAACUUGGGCGAAAUCUGACAAUGCUAGCCACUGGUUCUUUUUUUUAAAUAUAUACAGAAACUGAAAGCAGAAAUACUCAGCAUUGUGAAUAGCUAACUUGGCUAAGAUGUUGUGCUGGUAAGUGAAGGGUCAGAGGUUCAAAUCCAGCCAUAGCCAUCAUUUUUUGUUUAGGAUUCAGACAGAAAGACAUGUUUUUUAGGAUUCCUCCACUGGGAGGGUUUAACCUUUCGCACGUAAAUUGUAAAUGAUUUAACUGAUCCCCCCCAGCGUGAAUUUUUUUUCGGCGGUUAUUUUACAACGUAUCAAAUUUUAAACUACAGUGUGACGCACCAAGCUUGUGAUGUGACACUCUGGGCAGUCACAUGAUGGCUCACCGCUGACUCGUCUCGCUUGGAGCUGGAGGACAGAGUAUAGGUAAGCGUUGCGAGUCAUGUUUACUUCCUCAUUGGUUUAAAGCACGUAUAAACUAUAAUAAAUGUUUUAACCAACGGUUUACAUUGACAUUUAUUUCUUUUAUUUUCUCGGGCUUUGAAUUUCCCUCCCACGUGCAACUUUUCUGCCAACGCAUUACAAAGUUGCUCCUGUUCUCAGUAAUGCAUCAGUGUGUGGUACUCAAAACAUGGGCUAACACAAAAGGGAGUGUUGCACAGCUCUCAUGUACAUGGCCCUGUAACACGGCUGGGAGAAUGUGAGACUGGUAUACCAGUAUCCUUCCUCACAUAAGGUGGCGGUGUAAACUGAUGAAAUGCCAGCCUGCCCUUCCACUUUGUCACUAAUUCAUCCAUGGAGAGGAACAAAAACAUGCUGAAAGGAGUGUUAUUCACUUAUGGACCUUGCAGUGCCGCCUGGUCCUGCUACCCUGGAAAGUGGUUUGAGGAACCUCAGAGGGGAAAUGCCUGGCUGUCUGAGGCAGGGCGGCCCCUGAACUGUGCUCCUCAAGCAGCCCUCUUAUCAGGCUGAUCCUGAAUUGAGGGAAUCAGUGGAGUGCCCUAUCAAUAGUAAGGGGCCAUUAAGGACAUGACGAAGGACCCAGAGAUCCCAAGUCCCUCGUAGUGGUGGAUACAGUGUAACCAGUGGUGUUUUCUCCAGCAGUUCUGCGGAACUGUGGUUUGUUUCCUGAUCUUCUCAGCAUUAGACCUCUGUGGGAGAUGCAGAUGGGGUCUGACUUUGAGGUCCAGGAGGGGUAAAAUUGCUGGUAACCCUCCAGCAGGUAGAGCUUACCUCCUCCACCUUCUUUGGUGUGGUGUGUGCAGGUGAUGAAGCAGUAGCUGAGACAUCUUCAAUAAAUAUAUUUCUCUGAUCUCAUCUGUUAAUUUUUUUCUUUUAAAAGCAGGUCCCCUUUUUUCUGUGGCAAUUGUGUAAAUAAAACUGUAAAUGCAAUUAGCGAAAGAAUUUGUGUAAAAUCUGUGACGAGCGCCAAUGCGAAUCUGAGGUAAAAGUGACAUGCUGUGACACGUCACUGGGGGAAAGUGAAGACGACGAAGCAUUAAAAAAAGAAAGAAAACGAAAACUAUGAAGCAUUACUGAUGUCAACCCUUUAUUUUAGAUUCUUAGUUGUUAAACAAAACAUCUUAUUUACAUUUAAAAAUUUAUUACAUUCUCAUAUGUCAAACGUGUGCUUAUAUAACUUUUAUAAGGAUCGUAUUAUUAUCGAGAUAAAUGUAAUUAUUGAUAGGCUGUGACCAUGGCCAUGUUUGUUUACAUUCCAAUGCAGACUUCAGUGUCUAGAGCAUGACAACAUAAUAUUUGUUUCAUUUGAAUAAAACAUUUACGUUUG